ACCAGGAGAAUUUCAGGUAUGUGAUGGAAUUCCAGCUACAUGGUCAUAAAGAGCAUUUUGCGGCAUGUAAGCUUUGGCUGAGCACAGAUGAUGAAUUUCGGCUGGAAAAUCAGACAGUUGGAGACAGCAGAGGUGCUGGGCUGCUAGCUCUCAGAGCAGGAGACAGCAGAAGAAUCCAGGUGAUCUGUAGGAAGAUUUACAGAAUUGCUCCCUGGUCAGGAGAAGAAAUUAAACAUGAAGUUUCUCCAGACAACCUGCCAGAAAGAGGAAUAGAAAGAGCAAGGAAUAAGAAAGCCCUAACUCAGGAAAGAACCUUUCCACUCUACAGUUUCUUCUGAACACCAGGAUAACAUUUUGUUUAACCCAUGAGUGGAAAACUCAAUUAUAUUGUCAGUGCAUAAGUAUAUGUGCUUACCUUUUAUUGCCCUGUUCCCCAAAACUUUGCUUCCUUACCUAGAUCAUCUGAGGAACUAAGAGUCUACAAAGUGAAAAUGACUGACUGUCUUUUCAAACAAUAAUAAAUAUGAUUAAGAAUAUUGAAAUGCCAACAUACGGACAAAACUAACUUCAUUAUGUGGUACUGGCACCCUACAAACAUUGACCUGGAUUCCACUGCACUCAGCGCCGCCAACUGGGAAGCAAUCAGAUAGACCCUAUCCAAGUGAGAGCUGGAGAGAUGACAAGGCUAAAAAGUAUCAUGUGGUAAAUUACCCUGGUAAGCAACUUAUAAAAUGUUCCAAUGUUUAUUGGGUUGUAAAGCAAGAAAAUUGCCACAUGAAGUAACUAAAGGGAGGACUGAGUUGGUGAAUUGCUAUGCAGCAAUUGUCUAGCUGAAGCAUAGAAUGAAAAAAAGAAAUGGAUGUGAAAAAGGUAAAAAUAUUUUCUUUACGUGAUAUUGCUGUUCGUAUGUCUUUAUAAAGAAAAUUCCCUUUUGUCCAGUGGUAUGUAAGAAAAAAUCAAAAAUGGAGUUUUAAAAACUAAAAUUACAGCCAGAUACUUUUUAAUGGUACCCUUUCUGGCACUGUUUACAUUGUUUAAGAUCAUUCAGCUAUUUCCAUUCAAUUUUAAUUGGAGAGAAAUUAAAGUAAAUCCUGUUUAAGCAACUUUUCGGUCUCUAUAGGAAAAAAAAAUAAGUUAGACUUCUUUACUAAUAUGUCAAGCUAGAAAAACAUGUUGAGUGCAUACCCUAUUACAGCUGAAUGCUAGGGGGAAAAAAAAGAAAAAAAAAGUGUGCAUAUACAUUCAGUUGCUUUGGCUUUUGAGAAACCACAAAACUUUCUCUGAGGUUUUUUUGUUGUUGUUAUUUCAAAAGUUAAGUGUCCACAGAAAUAUUUCUU